rnacentral:tRNA from 1 species
UAGAAUUUGGUGCAAUUGGGAGCACGAAGAGUUUUGGGCUCUUAGGAGUAGGUUCAAUUCCUAUAGUUCUAG